AUCUCUGAGUUAGAAUAAACUGUUAAGACUAAAAACUUACUCAUUUUACCUUUCACCAUGGGGCUUGUAACCGCCAUUUGUGUCUUGAGCAGUUAAAAGAUAGAACGGUCAAGUCAAGCGCCAUGUCUCUUAUUCUUGAUCAACUAUAGCUCUGGAGUUUUUGCAGAUUUUCAAAUAAAACUCAGAGAUUCCUUAUAUGAUUCUCUCAAAUCUCUCUUUUGUGGUAUUUCUGGAUCCUUACCAAGGCAGUAAUGGUAUAUGCCUUAUCUCAAAGUAUGUGGUAUUUUUGGUAUAAUGCAUAGUGAUAUUACCUUCUCUCUCACCCUACUCUAAUAAGGUUUUGAUAUCUGGAGCUCAUAGGUGGGAGACAGCUAAUACAUACUUACAAGACAUUUAUUGCAUAGUCAAACCAUAGAUCCAGAGAAACAAGUCAAUAAGUCAAAUCAAGAUGUGCAUGUGUGGCGAAUGAAUGGUGUAUGGUGAUGAUGGUGAUAACAAUGGUUUAAAUCUAAUUCUGCUUUUGCUCUUUUUAGGGGAUACUUACCUUUCUUGCACUUUGAAGCUUUUUGAGGGGAAUGAGAUGCUCUAUAUUUUCUUUUUCUUUCUCUCUCAGGUGGGUAUCUUGUACCCCUAAUUCUACUGUCGGACACUUGUCCAUUUUUACCUCUCGUCUCACUUUUUCUUUUCUUCGAGGUUCCGGGCACUUGCCCCUUUUUAUUUCCUCGUAUAUAUUUCUCUCUCUUUUUUUCUCUUUCUCUUCUCUUUUUUUAGAGCACUCAUCUCCUGAAAUAAUGUAGCAAGUGGUAGUAACCAAAAUAACUGGAGCAUUUAUUUCACAUUGAAUAAUAGGGAUAGGAAAAUGUUUUUGGCUAUUCUCUCUCGGAUUAGGAGUAGAAUAAUUUUGGGUGAAUCUGGAGAUGGAAAUGAGUGGAUGUAUGUGGAUGCGUACUUCCGGAGUAGAAGCAGCAUAUACGAGUGAACGUGCAAGUGAAUCUUGAUUUUAACCACAUGACAAGCUCCUAAGGGUCUACACAGCUUGACCACACUCAAUGCUCAUAAGCAGUAAAAAGUAAAUGUGUGGCUCUGUUGGGUAUUUUAAACGCAAACAGAAAAAUCCGCAAGCACACGGAUACCGAUGUAGCUUUCACCAGGGAGUAUUCCAGAGUAUCGAUUUUCCACAGAGAACGUGAGUGUAGUCAUUAAGAUCCAAGAUCGCCCAAGGAUAACUAUAUAAUUAUUUUUGGUGGGAAGAGAGGAAGUUUCCUGAGAGUUCUCUAGAUGAUCUAAGAAUCAAGAAUUACUUCAAGAUUAUCUAUUUCGGGACAUCAGAACACUAACCACAGAAAGAGAUGAGAAGGGGGCUAGGAAGCUCUGACUACGGUCCUACAAACACCGAUCCGAACCAGGUGGAAUACGUCGACCGUUAGGGCUGUCACUACCCUAAGGCUACCACAACAAUCCGCAGGAUUGGGUGCAAUUCCAGGUAAUCGCAAGACUAAACACCACGUUUAAUCUAUUAAUUACUACUCUAAUGUUUCAAAGACUAGAGCACUUGAUGCAAGCGGGAAUCCAAUAAAUAACUUGAAUGUAAAUAAAAGUAAUUAGAGAACUCAGGAGUUAUGAGUUGAAGAACCUGGAGAACGAUGAAGAACGAACCAGUUGCUGCAAAAGUACAAUGUUGAGGAAGAUCCGACAGAUCCGGCUCCUCCUCCGCUCUCCUCUUCUCUCUCCCUAUUUUAUAGAUUACAACUAGAACUAACUAGAACUAGAACUAGAGGAACUAGAACUAGAACUAGAUGAACUAGAACUAGAUCUAGAUGAACUAGAGGUAGAACUAGAAGAACUAGAGGGAUCCUCUCUACUUGGAUGAAGAAUUGAAACCCUAACUUUGAUUCUGUAGAAGAGGUAUGAUCUCCAGGGGCCAGGGGGGUCUGGUUUUAUAGUCCCUUCAAGUGAAUCUGGGCCGUCGGAUCAAACCGAUAUUGAUCGCACGGUUUUCCUUGAUCCUUUAGGUCGGUGGAGCUUGGUCCGCAAAGUUGGACGUGUUUGACCACAACUCCUGGGCGGGCGCCCAAGGGGGGUGGGCGGGCGCCCUGCCCCCGGGCCUGUUCGCCUUCCCGUUCGUUCCCGUGGCUUCUGGAGUCUUCUAGAUGACGUAAAAUUGCGUGGCACGUUAAUAUCUCUGUGUCAACCCGACGUGUGGGCCUUUCUUCUGUAUGUCCUGAUAACCCCCUGCAGAAAUAGACAAACACCAAAACUUGUGUAAUUCUGUCAGAUAAAACCCUAAGUCUAGAUGUUGGUAGCAUUUGGAUCCUUUUCCAUGAUUAGUUGACGAUUAAAUGUGAGCAUUAAGGACCGUCAACAAGCUCCCCCAAGCUUAACCUUUGCUCGUCCCUGAGCAAAGAUGAACUCAAGAGUUUCUGCAGUGGUUUCAUAACUUAAAGAUACACAUGCAUUUAAACAAGAUCUCAUCUCUGGUUAGAGUAAACUAUUAAGACUUAAAACUUACUCAUUUACCUUUCACCAUGGGACUUGUAACCGUCACUUCUGUCUUGAGUAGUUAAAUGAUAGAACGGUCUAGUCAAGCACCAUGUCUCUUAUUCUUGAUCAGCUAUAGCUCUGGAGUUUUUGCAGAUUUUCAAAUAAAACUCAGAGAUUCCUUGUAUGACUCUCUCUAGUCUCUCUUUUGUGGUAUUUCUGGAUCCUUACCAAGGCAUUAAUGGUGUAUGCCUUCUCUCAAAGUAUGUGGUAUUUUUGGUAUGAGGCAUAGUGACAUUGCCUUCUCUCUCACCCUACUCUAAUAAGGCUUUUGAUAUCUGGAGCUCAUAGGUGGGAGAUAGCUAAUACAUACUUACAAGACAUUUAUUGCAUAGUCAAACCAUGGAUCCAGAAGAUCAAGUCAAUAAGUCAAAUCAAGAUGUGCAUGUGUGGCGAAUGAAUGGUGUAUGGUGAUGAUGGUGAUAACAAUGGUGAAAGCCUAAUUCUACUUAUGCUCUUUUGAGGGGAUACAUACCUUUCUUGCUCUUUUGAAACUUUUUGAGGAGAAUGAGAUGCUCUAUAUUUUCUUUUUCUUUUCUCUCAGGUGGGUAUCUUGUACCCCUAAUUCUACUGUCGGACACUUGUCCAUUUUUACCUCUUGUCUCACUUUUUUUUUCUUUUCUUUCGAGGUUCCGGGCACUUGCCCCUUUUUAUUUCCUCGUAUUUAUUUUUUUUCUCUCUCUUUUUUUUAUAUUAGAGCACUCAUCUCCUGAAAUAAUAUAGCAAGUGGUAGUAACCAAGAUAACUUGAGCAUUUAUUUCACAGGGGAAAAACAGAAAUGUUUUUGGCUAUUCUCUCCCGGAUUAGGAGUAGAAUAUUUUUAGGUGGCUCUGGAGAUGGAAAUGGAUGGAUAUAUGUGGAUGGUACUUCUGGAGUAGAAGUAGCAUGUGUGAGUGAACGUGCAAGUGAAUCUUGAUUUAACCACAUGACAAGCUCCUAAGGGUCUACACAGCUUGACCACACUCAAUGCUCAUAAGCAGUAAAAAGUAAAUGUGUGGUUCAUAGUCUAACAAGCAUGUAUAUAUGGCUGUGGUAGGAAUUUAAAAUCUCAUCAUACAGGAACUCAUCAUGCAACAUUUUAAAGAUUUUCAAAGAUAAAAUUCUCCAGAAUUCUAGCAUCUCUAGGAACAGAUAAACAGCAGCUCAACCUUCCCAUAUCGUAUCCGUUAACGACUUAGACUUUAGAUCAAGUACUCUCCCCACAAGUUCAGGUUUAGAGCAAAUCUUAAUUAAUAACAGUCAUGCCUAAACUUAAGAGAGAUUUCAAUUUUUAGAACUAGUCAUGGCAGAGCAACUAUUCAUCAUUUCCAUGUGAAAGCUUAUCAUGAGGGUUCAUAGCAAAUUUUAUUUAUUUAUUUAUUUAGCAAACUAAGCAAAGAUAUAUAUAUAAGCACAAAAUCUUUAUUUGGGUUUUUAUGAUUAUGCAUCUUUUUAUUAUUUGAGUAAAAUAUAAACGUGAGUAGAAUACUUAGGUGGAUAAAUGGAGGUGCUCUCCCCCAAGCUGGAUUUUGACGUAAUUCCUUUUGAUGUAGCAGGUUGCGGAGGUGUAUUUGAAUGUCGGCAGCACCCUGAUAUUGAUUAGGAUGUCCUCCGUCUACUAGUCUUCUUUGAUCCUUUAAUUCUGUGGAGCUCAAAUAGACAACAAAGCUUUGUGGAACUAGUUAAGUGUUAGCAUAAAUAUCUAGCCUUUAUCAUGUUGAGCCUCCUCAAUAAAUGUUACUCUCUUUAGUAGGAUCAUAUUUUCAUUUUUAUAGGACAGGAAUAUAUAUAUUUAUUUUUACGCCACCACAGUGAAUGUACUUAUGGGUUUUAUGCCAUGAGCAUACUCACAUGGGGCUUACUUAACAUUUUUAUUUUCUUUUCAAGAUGAUAUGAACCUGAUUAACUAAAAUAAUUGAAAGGAAAAAGAUAACUACCAAGUUUACCUCUUGGCAAGGCGUUCGGUGUUUUUACGUCCUCCGAACGGGACUCUCCGUUUUCUCAAUCAUCCUGGAAUUCGCUGGAUAGCGUAGUCGGUGGUUCUGGCGGUGCCUGCUCUUCGUGUAUAACUAUCUUCUCUCUCCACACAUGACUCGGUGCUACGGUCUCCUCAGGACAGUUCCGUUCAAGUUGUAUGUCUUUAGACCUUACAACUUCUCCUUCAUAGUCUACCCAUCCGUCCUUGAUGAUUUUGCCUUCUCUUGUUACGGUUGCGUCGUCUUCUUCUUGUCCUAACCUGCUUAGAGUCUUCAAUUAUAUAGUUAGGGUCAGUAAAAUAGUGGCGUACCUUCUCAGAGGUGAAGUGCAUGUGGACUUCUCUGGUUCCAAUGUAUAUGAUUGCUUUAAUGGUGCUAAAGAACGGUCUUCCAAGGAUGAUGGGUGGAUCGUAAUCGUCUUCUCCCAUGUCAAUAACCUUCAAUCUUUCAGAAUGUCUGAUCUGCCAUCUGAAGCUGAAUGUAUGUCAGUUUUAGGGGCAUGGUUCCGAAUAGGAGCUGAGAGGUGACUGGCGGCCAUUAUGUCGACGCCUGACCCGGUGUCGCAAAGCAUCUUCUGGAAGUUGUAUCCAUCAAUGGAGCACUGGAUGCUUGGCAUACUUGGGUCGUCCUUUUUGGUUAGGAACGGUGACUUAAGUCGACGAUCUUAACCUCCUUGAACUGCAGUGACCAUCUUUGCUGACUUGGUCCACAUUUGCUUGUUCCUGUUCCUCCUGUUGGUCCUCUUCCUUGUUUCAUGUCGGGAUUGCUCUGAGAUUUGUGUAGUCUUGUUCUUGAAGGAAAAUGUCUCAUUUCUCCCUUUGAUCUAGAAACUGAACUUGGCAGCACUCGCGUAGAUGAUAGCUCCCGAGGUGUUCAGGAAUGGCCUCCCUAGGAUGAUGGGUGCCCUCUCAUCAGUACCAGUCUCUAUCACCACGAAGUCUGCUGGGGCGUACAAGGUACCAACUCGUAUACAGAGGUUCUUCAAUAUUCCUUUUGGGAAACUUAGUGUACAGUCUGCAAGCUGCAAACCCAUGGUUGUUUCUGAUAAAUGAUGUGUAAAGAAUUUUUCUUAGAGUACCCUGGGCAUAAUGUUGACGCUGGAGCCAAAGUCGCAGAGUGCUUCCGGGAAGUCCACCAUGCCGAUGGAGAUCGGGAUGACGGGACGUCCUGGAUUGUAUCUCUUAACCGACAGAAGGUCAGUAAUUACUUCCACAACAGGGUUACUCCAGUAGUUACAUCCUCAAGCAUCUCAGGGCAGUGAUUGCCUGAGUGUCCAGUAUCUCCAGUGUGUUUGUGCUCGUAGAUCUAGGUUCUUCACUUGGUGGAGUCUGGGAGUUAUAAAAGUCCUUCAUAUUUUGCUCGAAGUGUACCUGCUCAUAGAGACAAGGCCGAGAUCAAGUGCAUGGGCUCUGUUGGUGGAAAACACCAACAGAACCAAAAGUGUAUUUGUUCUCUCUAACCUUAAGCAUAGUGAGCAAGACAAAGUUGAUGGAUAAUAAGAUCAUGAGUGUAGCAUUUAACAUUUGUCAGAUUAGAUUGCUCAACCUUAUGGAAAGAUAAUCUAUCUAUAUGUUUUGUUUAUAUCUUCCAAAGAUUGAGUGUGCAACAUUUUAGCUUAUACGAUUAGGAGUGUGGAAUCACAAAGGUGGAAGGACUAAACAUGUUGAAUCGAUUGGGUUGGUUAAUCUAGAGUUGUAGAUCAUACAUGUUUGUCUCUUUUAUUCAUGUGAAUGCCAGAACCAAGAAAAAGCUUAUAGAAGUGAUAGUCAAGUACCUUAAGAUGUUACCUUACUUGAAGAGUGAUGGUACAGUAUUACCUUGUGGAAGCUUUCCUUUCUUAGUGGUAGUGCAUCGUGUUUGUGGCACCGUCCAUGGAUCAUCUCUUGUGAGCUAUGCCUUCCUUGUGUAGAUUGUUAAACUUCAUGUGUCUCUCUCAUUGUCUCCAAUGUGAGUUUGUCUCAGGACUUCCCAGGUCGAUAUUGAAUGUUUUCCUGCAGGGGUUAGUCCAACAAAAUAUACCAAUGUCUACACAAGCGGUUUUUAGUUCAAUAACCAAACUAGACUCCAUGUCUAAUUAGAUUAAGGAAGGCUGUUUAACCUAAGCACCAUGCUUAAUUUAAAAACCAAUAGAAGUAUGUACAGUACUUCCAAACUAACACUUACUAGGAUAAACAAAGGUAGCGUGAUGGCUUUUAUAGAGAUCUACUCAAGUGGAGAUGAAGUAGUGUGAUUACUAUUUAACAAAUUGAGCAUGUCUCAGGGUAGGGAUAACCAACAUAGCAACAUGGCAAAUGAUGUUUUUGUAUAAAGUACUCCCCCAAGCUUGAAUUUUGCAAAAUCAAGUUUGGAUGAAUUUAAUUCAAUGUUGUAUGAUGAUUGGUUGGACAUACCUUGUGCUUGUCAUUCAUCCGAUCUUCUUGCUCCAAUCCUGGAAAGGUUAGUGACAAGAAUACCCGAAGGAAUUUUUUUACAAUUAUCCUUAUAUGCUCAAUACACAAGUUAAUGUUGCAAAUAAUUAAAAGCUCAUGUUACAAUCUGAUCAGUGCUUGUUUUAGGACACUAAGCUUGUCCUUGGGAAACCAUCAAUUUAUGUCAGCGAAGUGGUUUCCCCUCUAACGCUGACCUAUAUCAAGAUCAACUCAACGAGAUCUACAAAAUUUAUUAUAGACAUAUGCAUCGACAACCGCCCUUUUAAAGUUUUUAUAAAUAGAAAGGAUGUGGGGGAUGGAGAUCUCGAAUGUGGUGAUGUUGGAGAGACCAAUGGAUUGUGAAGAUGUUGCAUAUGAGCAUGGAGUAAAUGAAGUGGCUAUGAAAUAAAUUCCAUGCUCAUUAAUGCUUAGAGUGAAAUCCAUGUGGUAUGGUGAAAAUGGUAAGGUGAGUGUGGUAGAAAAAGAAAAAGGAUACACGGACGACUUGGUUCGAAACUAGCACAGCUACCGUUCCCCGGCAACGGCGCCAGAAAGCUUGUUGGGUAUUUUAAACGCAAACAGAAAAAUCCGCAAGCGCACGGAUACCGAUGUAGCUUUCACCCGGGAGUAUUCCAAAGUAUCGAUUUUCCACAGAGAACGUGAGUGUACUAAUUAAGAUCCAAGAUCGCCCAAGGAUAACUAUAUAAUUAUUUUUGGUGGGAAGAGAGGAAGUUUCCUGAGAGUUCUCUAGAUGAUCUAAGAAUCAAGAAUUACUUCAAGAUUAUCUAUUUCGGGACAUCAGAACACUAACCACAGAAAGAGAUGAGAAGGGGGCUAGGAAGCUCCGACUACGGUCCUACAAACACCGAUCCGAACCAGGUGGAAUACGUCGACCGUUAGGGCUGUCACUACCCUAAGGCUACCACAACAAUCCGCAGGAUUGGGUGCAAUUCCAGGUAAUCGCAAGACUAAACACCACGUUUAAUCUAUUAAUUACUACUCUAAUGUUUCAAAGACUAGAGCACUUGAUGCAAGCGGGAAUCCAAUAAAUAACUUGAAUGUAAAUAAAAGUAAUUAGAGAACUCAGGAGUUAUGAGUUGAAGAACCUGGAGAACGAUGAAGAACGAACCAGUUGCUGCAAAAGUACAAUGUUGAGGAAGAUCCGACAGAUCCGGCUCCUCCUCCGCUCUCCUCUUCUCUCUCCCUAUUUUGUAGAUUAGAACUAGAACUAACUAGAACUAGAACUAGAGGAACUAGAACUAGAACUAGAUGAACUAGAACUAGAUCUAGAUGAACUAGAGGUAGAACUAGAAGAACUAGAGGGAUCCUCUCUACUUGGAUGAAGAAUUGAAACCCUAACUUUGAUUUUGUAGAAGAGGUAUGAUCUCCAGGGUCCAGGGGGGUCUGGUUUUAUAGUCCCUUCAAGUGAAUCUGGGCCGUCGGAUCAAACCGACAUUGAUCGCACGGUUUUCCUUGAUCCUUUAGGUCGGUGGAGCUUGGUCCGCAAAGUUGGACGUGUUUGACCACAAAUCCUGGGCGAGCGCCCAAGGGGGGUGGGCGGGCGCCCUGCCCCCGGGCCCGUUCGCCUUCCCGUUCGUUCCCGUGGCUUCUGGAGUCUUCUAGAUGACGUAAAAUUGCGCGGCACGUUAAUAUCUCUAUGUCAACCCGACGUGUGGGCCUUUCUUCUGUAUUUCCUGAUAACCCCCUGCAGAAAUAGACAAACACCAAAACUUGUGUAAUUCUAUCAGAUAAAACCCUAAGUCUAGAUGUUGGUAGCAUUUGGAUCCUUUUCUAUGAUUAGUUGACGAUUAAAUGUGAGCAUUAAGGACCGUCAACAGGCUCAAAGUCUAAUAAGCAUGUAUAUAUGGCUGAGGUAGGAUUUUAAACUCUCAUCAUACAGGAACUCAUUAUGUGAUAUUUUAAAGAUUUUUCAAAGAUAAAAUUCUCCAGAAUUCUAGCAUCUCUAGGAACAGAUAAACAGCAGCUCAACCUUCCCAUAUCAUAUCCGUUAACAACUUAGACUUUAGAUCAAGUACUCUUCCCACAAGUUCAGGUUUAGAGCAAAUCUUACUUCAUAACAGUCAUGCCUAAACUUGAGAGAGAUUUUAAUUUUAAGAACUAGUCAUGGCAGAGCAACUAUUCAUCAUUUCCAUGUGAGAGUUUAUCAUGAGGGUUCAU
rnacentral:lncRNA from 1 species